AAAGGAAUAGACGGGGGCCCGCACAAGCGGUGGAGCAUGUUGGUUAAUUGGAUGAUACGCCAAGAACCUUACCAGGGCUUGACAUGUUCUCGACAGCCUGGGAAACCAGGUCUUCCACUUCGGUGGACGAGAUCACAGGUGGUGCAUGGUUGUCGACAGCUCGUGUCGUGAGAUGUUGGGUUAAGUCCCGCAACGAGCGCAACCCUCACUGAAUGUUGCCAGCGGAUAAUGCCGGGGACUCUUUCAGGACUGCCUGAGCAAUCAGGAGGAAGGGGGGGAUGACGUCAAAUCGGCAUGCCCCUUAUGCUCUGGGCUGCAAACGUGCUACAAUGGCCGGUACAGAGGGCUGCGAAGCCGCGAGGUGAAGCCAAUCCUUAAAACCGGUCCCAGUUCGGAUUGGAUGUCUGCAACUCGACUCCAUGAAGCUGGAAUCGCUAGUAAUCGCGGAUCAGCAAUGCCGCGGUGAAUACGUUCCCGGGCCUUGUACACACCGCCCGU
rnacentral:rRNA from 1 species